GCCAGGGUGCUGGGGCAGAGGUGUACAGACAGCUGGAACUGGGUCUCUCCCAAAUCCCCACAGCCAACAGGCUUCCUGGUGAGGAACAGAGGCUCAGAGGAGAUUGCGGAAUUCAGUGGUUAUGAUGGCCUGGAGUCACAUCCUGCUUCCUUCUCAACUAGCUUCGUGGACUUUGAAAAGUGAUUUUUUGUGACUCAGUUUCCUCAUCUGUGAAAAAUGGGCAUCGCAAGACUACCAACCUCAAAGUUGGGGGCUCUGGAAUCCGAUCCGCG